GAUUAUGAUUUCAGGUCUGACCUGCCCGCUGAUAUAAUUGAAUGGCCGCGGUAUAUUGACCGUGCAAAGGUAGCAUAGUCAUUAGUUUUUUAAUUGAAAGCUUGUAUGAAGGGUUUGAUGAAAAAGUUACUGUCUCUGAAGAAGUUAUUUAGAAUUUUAUUUUUAAGUGAGAAAGCUUAUAUUUUUAUAGAAGACGAGAAGACCCUAUAGAGUUUUAUAGGCAGUAUAGGGCUUGAAUGCGAAGAAUUAAUUUUAAGUGCUUUAUGAUCUAUUUUGUUGGGGUGAUUGGAAAAUUGAAUCAACUUUUCUUGAAUUGUGAUACAGAUGUGUAGGUAUUUGAUCCUUGUGUUGAGAUUAGAAGAAUAAAUWACCUUAGGGAUAACAGCGUAAUCUUUUUCAGAGUUCUUAUCGAAGAAAAGGGUUGCGACCUCGAUGUUGGAUUAAAAUUUACUUUUGGUGGAGAAGCCGAUAGGUUGGGUCUGUUCGACCUUUAAAAUUUUACAUGAUCUGAGUUUAAACC
rnacentral:rRNA from 1 species